GUCUAAUCGGCGGUGUGCAUUCCAGGGUCAGGACACCUCCAGGAUUGUUCCGGAGGAUCAACUCACUUUGGCUAUUAGGGAAUUCUGGUUCCCCACUAACCCUGGAAGUUUUCAGAGCAGUGUCCCCACAGUGGUCCCUGGGUGGACACCUUCUCCUUGAGGUGCCCAUGGGGAAGGCGUGGGGCAGAUGUGGAGCUGCUUCUCGACACUCCCUCUGAGCUUCCUCAGCACAGGGAGCAUCCCAGGCCCGCACUGGGUCACAGCGAGGGAGGCAGCCACUGAGACACUAAAGGACCCGUGUCCGUGAAGGAGGAAUGAAAAUCCACAUCUGCAAGAGAAAACUUCCGGGUCCACACGUUACUCUUACUAAACAAAUGUGACCACAGAAAGUCUAUUUACGGAUGCUGUCUUGCCUGCCGCCAUGUUAAGACAUGCCUUCGUUCCUCCUUCACUUUCUGCCAUAACUGUGAGGCCUCCCCAGCCACGUGUAACUAACUCUAGAUGGAAAUGUUCAACUACUUAUCUGAUGUCUCCGCUUGGAUGUCUCACAGGCCACUCAAAUUCACCCUGUCCCAAACUGGACUCCUCCUUACUCCCAAACCUGUUCCUCUUCUGGUGUGGUGUCCGGGGAGGCACCAUCCUCCAGCCAGCUAAGAAGCCAGACACCCAGGAGACAUGCUGGCAUUUUCCCUCAUGCUCCACCUUCUCACCAACCCACCACCGAGAUGCAUGGAGUCCUCCAUCCCAACCGCUCCUGAACCUGCUGCUCUUCACCCCACCAUGGUCUCUGCCUUCCUCAAUAACUUCCUAAGCUUUGGCAAUGGCUUGCUUGUGUCCCUGUAUUGAUUCUGGCUUUCUCAAAUCCAUUUCCCAAACUUUUCAACAACAACGAAGUCUUCUGAUAGUUUCCUGUGCACACAGAGUCAAAUCCGAAGCUUAUAAUGUGGUAGACAAAGUUCUGAGUGAUUUGGCAACAACAGAAUGGACAAAUAAAUCACGAUGUAGUAAUUCAGUGAAACGCCAUACAGCGAAGAGAACAAACCAACCAUGGCUACACACAACAAUGCGGACGAAGAUCUCAAAAUACUUCAAAACGUUUUCUUUAAAAGUGGAUUGUGUCGGCUAGGCACGGUGGCUCAUGCCUGUAAUCCCAGCACUGUGGGAGGCCAAGGCGGGAGCAUCACCUGAAGUCAGGAGUUCCAGACCAGCCUGGCCAACAUGGCAAAACCCCAUCUCUACAAAAAUUAGCCGG
rnacentral:lncRNA from 1 species